UUUGUUCUAGAGCACACAUGCCUGAAAGCGCUAGUUAUAGCAACAGGAUUGUAAACAUUUUGUUAAACAAUUGACCACCUAAAACAUCUCCUAGCUGCCUUGGGGGUGAGCCCACCCAUUGGACGAGACACUGCAUGACGAGACACUGCGUGAGGAGACACUGAGCAGCGACAGCAGCAGGAGUGCCCGUUGAGAUGACCCAGCAGGAAGGUGAAGAUGUAUUAGCCCAUUUGAAACAAGAUUCCUGUGACAGAAAAUAAAAAGAAGCAAUCAAUAAUGUGCAAGGAUGAGUCUUCCACUAGCAGCCUUUGGAUGAAUGAACCUGUAAGCCAGCCCCAAUUAAAUGUUGUUUUUUUAUAAGACUUGCCUUGGUCAUGGUUUCUGUUCACAGCAUAAAACACUAACUAAGACAAGGGCCAGUCUCUCUGAAAUAUACAGAAGGUAGUGAUUCCCUGCAUUGGUUCAUAGAACUUCUUAGGUUGCUUUGCCCAUGGCUCACUGACUUGUGUUUCACUGGUCUCAUGUGGAAGGGCAGGGUGUUGCCAACACUGAAAAAGAUCACAUUCUUGGAAUGUAGUGGAUAUGGCCUAGAAUUCAGGAGAAUUUGUACAAGACAUAUUUUUCUAAAUUUAUGUUACAAAAUUGUGAACAGUACAUUUAGCAUGACCAGAAAGGAAGUCAUUUUUUCUUCACCUUAAGAUUAAGAUUAUUUGCUGAGACUCAGUGAAGCAUAGCGGGAACCACUGGGAGCCAGGCAUGGAACAAUUCUGUGAUGUAACUGAUAUUGUGUUCAUGGUAAAUAGAGCCCAGUGGAUCAC
ensembl:antisense 4930430E12Rik RIKEN cDNA 4930430E12 gene